ACUUCCCUGGAAACGGUGGCCGGCAAUCGCCGCGUUCCGCUACCCGCGCUCCUCUGCCGCCCCAGCCUCUGGCGCUCAGCGCCGCGGCCCGGGUGCAGCAUGGAGGCGAAGGCUGCGUCCACGCCGGCUACUGGCGGCGGCGUGUGCUCGGUGACCGCGGAGGAGACCAAAAAGUGGAUGGAGGAAGCGAUGCAGAUGGCCAAGGAAGCCCUAGAAAAUAUUGAAGUUCCUGUUGGCUGCCUUAUGGUCUACAACAAUGAAGUUGUGGGGAAGGGACGAAAUGAAGUGAAUCAAACCAAAAAUGCUACUCGACAUGCAGAAAUGGUGGCCAUCGAUCAGGCCCUAGAUUGGUGUCAUCGAAGUGGCAAGAGUCCUUCUGAAGUAUUUGAACACACUGUGCUAUAUGUCACCGUGGAGCCAUGUAUUAUGUGUGCGGCUGCUCUCCGCCUGAUGAAAAUCCCACUGGUUGUCUAUGGCUGUCAGAACGAACGAUUUGGCGGUUGUGGCUCUGUUCUAAAUAUUGCCUCUGCUGAUUUACCAAAUACCGGGAGACCAUUUAAGGUAAUGUGACCCGUUUGUGCUUUUUCUUGCUAAUUACUUUGAUCUCUUUAUGGGGUUGGGAAUAGUUCACGCGUGGUCAGUAUACCAAAAAGCCAUGCUGGAACCAGGCAGACUCUGGGACCUCUUGUCAAGUUCAUGUAUGCCUCAGUAGAAGACGACAGUUAUCAUUUCCAGGUGAGUGCUUGGCCCUCUUAAUUAGCAGACUCUCUCCAGAAGGAGAGGCCAUGGCCUUCCCAGUUAUCUCCUGACAGUCUUCACCAACGCCAUCAGGUAUGUUUGGAGAUGCUGUCACUGUUGACAUUUUUCCCCAGCUCCAUGCUGUUCCACGCUUGUGUGAAGCUUGGCCUCUGUCAGUGACGGUAGAUGCUGUUUACAGUGCACACACAAUAUUUUUGCACAAAGCCGAUCGUUUUUGCUUUGUUGCUAUAUACUAGUUUUUGUGUUUUUUUUACAUUUUUAAAAAAGAUUUUAUACGUAUUUAUGAGAGACACAGAGAGAGAGAUUGUGGGGGGAAGAGCAGAGGGAGAGAGACAAGCGGACUCCGCACAGAGGGUAGAGCGCUACACGGGUCUCAAUCUCAGGACCCUGAGAUCAUGACCUGAGCCGAAACCAAGGGCCAGAUGCUGAACCGACUGAGCCACCCUGGCAUCCCUGUUCUAUGUAUUAUUUUUGGUGUCUAGCAAUGAAUACCUGUAUUUUCAUUAUUUUCCCCCUGCCUUUUCAAUAUUGAAAUUUCCCCCCAACCCAAGAAUUCAGAUUGCUUUCAUCUUCUCUUAAAAAGUUUACUUUCCCUUUAAUCUUGCUACCUGUCUCCAAGUUUUUAUAUUUAAGGCUAUAAACGUUAGGAAUUGAUAUUUCAGAAUUUGACUAGACACAUAGCAUUUUUCAGAAACUGGUUUGAUUGUUUUUUUCUCUCUAAGGUUAAUCCUGAAAUAUUAUGUUUUAAAAAGAAAAGAUUUAAUAAAUGCUGGAAAUGGUGGGUGGUUAACUUCAAAGGCCUCAGAUAUUCUUAGGAGAAUACUGAGUACCUAUGAAGGGCUAAAUUUGGCUGAAUCCCACUGAGAACAAGUUUUGGAAAACAUUCUAUUUUGAGUUUUCCCAGAUGAACAUUAGCUUUCCUAACAACUUCUGUACAUUUCAGAAUAGAUGACUUUUAACAUCGUAUCAGAAAAGAAAUUGUAAUAAAAUGAUGGCGAGUAAACAAUACAGUCAGCUUGACCAUUAAAAAAAUCUGCAAAGUAAUUUAAUUUUUCCAAUCACAUAUCAGUAGCGCAAAUUUUGCUUACAUAACUCUUUGCAAGUGAAUUGCUGAUUGUACUUCGUUUAUAAGGAAGAGCCAAAGAAUUUCUCAAAGCUUCUGGGCAGAACAAAGAUGUGCCCUUGGAUAUCAGACAUGGAUAGAAAAUUUCUCUCCAAUACAUCAGUGACAUUGGGUGCGUAAACAGUUCUCUCCUACACGUCUCUGCAGAGUUGAUCUGGCUGAACCGAAGGAUAAGUUUGUUUGUGGUGUGUGUGCUUGACCAGAUUGGCUCCAGGAAAAUGAAUGACCAUUGUUUGAAGCCAUAUCUCCAGACACAAAUUUGUAGCUAUAAUGGAUAAUUGAAAAUAUUGUCCUGGUAUUAUAGAGUGAUGCAGUUUCCUUCUCCAUCUGUAACUCGGUGGGUUUCAUCCCAGACUGCAUAUUACAGAGCUUUUAGGUGUGACUCUGGGAGGUCCCCACCCCAGACCAACUGGAUAAGAAGACGAGAGGGUGGAAGAGAAUAUUAGGAUUUUUUCUUCUUUUUUAGUUUUAUUUGUUUUUCACAGACCCUUGUGUCCAGGGGUGACUUGCAAUAGAUGGCAGGGAGGGAGCUGCUCUGCUGCAUGGGAAACCCUUCACCCAGAAGCAAGUUUCCUAUGAACAUUCAUUGGUGAUGGGUGAGAGGACAGGCCCCUUUACGGCUUUGCCCUGUUUCCUAAGAGAGGGGCUCACCAUACCAGACCCUGUACAGAUGGGACUCUAGGGGUGUGGGGGGUCACAUAGGCAGCCUUGGGCUGGGACUGCAGGGGUACGGCUAUCCGAGGCUCCAUGUUGCUAUCUUAUCUCCCACCUGGGUGGGAUUCUAACUUAGAGGCGUUCAGUCAUAAUCCCACAGAGUUCCCAGAUGAUUACACUGAGCAGCCAAGGUGGAGAGCCAUUGGUCUAAUCUCAUAGGAGAGGAGAGUGCUUUGUGCUGGUUGGUGUUCCCAAGAGCAUGAGGAGAGGCGGGAGCUCUGAGGAGAUGAACACUUCAUGUGGCACGAGGAGAAGGGGACUGAUCCCCCAUGGUCAGAAUGAUCUGAGAAGGUUGUGAGAACUAAGAAGCCUAGGGAGGAGAGAGCUCUAAAAAGAAGCGAGAAUGAUCAGUAGUCUCCACAACCGCAGAGACUUGAGGAGGUUGGAAAGGGCACCAGUGUUUUGGUCGGUAGGGGCCCUUGGGAUAUCUGGAAGCACGAGCCAGCGAGGCUAAGGUUGAAGAGGAAAUGAGAGCCACACAAGCAACAGCCAGGAGUCUGGAAUGUUCUCAGGGGCCAGCAGGGUAGCGGCUUGCCUGAGGGGCAGAAUGGAAGGAAGGUUAUUGGGAUUUUUUUCCCCCUCCAGCUUUACUGAGAUAUAAUUGACAUAUAACAUUGUGUUAAGUUUAAGGUAUACAAUGUGGUGAUUUGGGGGCGCCUGGGUGGCGCAGUCGUUAAGCAUCUGCC